CUACGGGGCGCAGCAGUGAGGAAUCUUGCGCAAUGGGGGAAACCCUGACGCAGCCACGCCGCGUGGGUGAAGAAGGCUUUCGGGUCGUAAAGCCCUGUCAGGUGGGAAGAAACGCAUUGAGUCGAAUAAACUCUUUGCCUGACGGUACCACCAAAGGAAGCACCGGAUAACUCCGUGCCAGCAGCCGCGGUAAUACGGAGGGGCAAGCGUUGUUCGGAAUUACUGGGCGUAAAGGGUGUGCAGGCGGCUACAUAAGUCGGAUGUGAAAGCCCUCGGCUUAACCGAGGAAGCGCAUCCGAUACUGUGUAGCUUGAGUCCCGGAGAGGGGGAUGGAAUUCCCGGUGUAGAGGUGAAAUUCGUAGAUAUCGGGAGGAACACCAGUGGCGAAGGCGAUCCCCUGGACGAGGACUGACGCUCAUACACGAAAGCGUGGGUAGCAAACAGGAUUAGAUACCCGGGUAGUC
rnacentral:rRNA from 1 species